GCACGCGCAGUUCCACUCAGGUGGCGAAGGAAAAGAGUUAAUUAUUCAUAAAUUUUCUCAAUCGCUCUAUUGUAACAUAUAAAUAACAAAAAUAAUAGUAAUAUGAAAUCGUAAUAAUGUCUUUCUAACACGGUUAAUUUUGAUUUUCGUAUAAGUCUAUUUAAAAAAGGUUCAACGAAUAAAACGCACAUUUGACAUUUAUCUACUAUGACUUGAAACAAGUAGGACUUACAUGAUUUUAAUAAAAAGUAUGUGAAGAUACAUGUGUCAUUAACAGGUAACUGUAAUAGUAGAUAUAUUAAACUGUUCAGUGCAAGUACGUACAAACAACGCUAAUUGACAACUAAUCAGUUGCAAUAUACAUGCCUCGUAAACGGAGAAAAAAGUUAGAUAUAUAAAACUACGAUGACAAAAACACGCAAAUUAAAACGAUAAAGUAAUAAAUUUAUCGAGCUUCUGCUUUUAUAGUCGAAAACGGUAGAUAAACGAUGGCACCCACGAAAGAUAAAUGGGUGAGGCGUUUUAUUAUUCCGGAAACAACACGGCACAAGAAAGGGUUUACUAUUUACAAAGUUACAUCUGUGGUAUUUUUAAAAAGUUCUCACGAAGAAAUUUCUAAAGUAUCUGUAUGGAAACGUUAUAAUGAUUUCAAGAAACUUCAUUCAGAAUUACAUGUUCUGUGCUCAAGAUUUCAAAUUAAGGAACCUUUCCCAUCAUUUCCAAAGCCAAAAUUUUUUGGCAGAUUUGAAACAGAAGUUAUCGAAGAAAGAAGGGAAUGUGCAUUAAAGUUUUUAGAAUUUAUAGGAAGACAUUCGUACUUAUAUUCUAGUGAUAUUUUCAUAAAAUUCUUUGAAACUAGUCAUGCGGAUUAUUAUUUAAAUGAUUGUUCACAAUCUCUUAGCUCUGAUACAUCAGCAGAGGAUGAUCAUAAUACUUAUAUAAAUUCUGUGCCUCCUAAUGAUAUUGUUUCUCAAAAUAUUCUUCAACCUAAAAGUAUUCAAGCUUCAUUAAUUAAUCCAUCUAUCCCUAAGGAUGAAAUGAAUCAAUCUCAAGAAAUAUAUAAAUCUAAAGAACAAUUUCCAGAAUUGAAUGAUUUAACAUAUAAAACUGAGAAUGAAAAAUCUAUAAAAGAAAAUACAUGUAAUAAUUUUCAUGUUAAAGAUGAUAGUUUAAAUAAAAUGACAUCUAAAUUAGAGGAUAAUCAAUUAGUUUUUAAUAAAAAUAACAAUUUGUACAAAGAUAAAAAUCAUAAUAUUAAGAAUGAAAAGGAUUCUAUAAUUGUUCAAACAUCAAGUAGUAACAUUACAGUUGAUAAUGCUGUUGAAGAAUUAAAUUUUUCGAUAAUAGCACACGAUGGUACUGAUCUACCACAGACAUGGCCAGAAUCUUCACAAUAUAUUUUAGUUGCAGCUGCACAUAUGAGUGCAGCUUUUAGACACGAAGAUCUUACCGAAUAUGAAGAAGCAUUUACUCAGUACAAAAUGGGAAUUUCUAGUCUGCAAUCGGGCGUUGAGUCUGAUUCAAAUAAAGUAAGGGCGGAAGUAAUAAAAGAAAAAAUAUCAAAAUAUCUAGAACGUGCAGAAAAGCUUUAUAACAGAUAUUUAAAUUGUAAUGUUUCAUUACUGAAUAAACCUGUGUCAGAGCUUCAAUAUUAUAAAGUUCUAAAAAUUAUGAAAUCAGUGAUGCUUGUAAAAGAUGUUCGCCUAAACUGCCUCAACAUUGUAAAAACUAUAGAAAAAUUAUCUACAAAUAAAGGAAGUAUAAGUGACUACAUAUUACGUGGUCAAAUACCAUACAUGGUACGUUUACACGCCUGUGUUGAGACAGAAACUACGAUAUUUCUGAUUUUACAGCAUCUGAGUCGCGGAAAAUUAUGGGACUUUAUAACAUCACAUUACAAUACUAAUAAUAAUAAUAAAAAUUGUAAUAAAAUAAUUAUGGAAAAUACUGUUGAAGAAGCUAUUGAUGAUAACAUUAUUUUAAGAAAAAGUGGCAUACAAAAUGAAGUUAAAGACAGUAAUGUAAAGAAGAGUUCGAACUUUAUAAGUACAAAUCCACAAGUACAAAUGGAAGUACACUCGGUAACGAUAGAUGAAAAAUAUGAAGAAUAUAGUGAUGUAUCUACUACCCGAUUAUUAGAAAAAGCACAAAUAUUAUUGCAGUCGGUCAAUGCAACUUUACAAGAAAGUAAUUCCGUCGUAAAUCGAAUACGCGAAUCAGAUGGUUUGAUUAACCAUCAAGGUAAUACCUCAUUAUUAAAUCUAAAAAACAAUGUACAUCGAUCUAAAAACUGUAACGAAGUACUAGAUGUUAAUGAUGUCUCAUUAAAAAUUGACGAUAUAAAUGAUGAAAAGUUCACGAAGGAAGAAAUACCUGAAAAAAGUGUGAUAACUUCGAAUUAUUCAACACUAUAUAAUAUUAAAAAUACCAAAAGUCAAUGUAAUACCAAUAAAUCAUCUUUAAGCAACAGUUUUGAUAGAAGGCCAAAUGAUUCUUCGACAGAUAAUUCAAAACCGGUCGAUACACAGUUUGCAGUAGACUAUAAUUGCACUGAUAUUGUUACAAAACAAUGUGAAUUAAACAAAUCAAUGGAGAUCUGUAACAAAACUGAAAUAGAUAAUUAUUUCAUACCAGAUGAUCAACAAAUGCAAUAUAACGACAUGACGUUAUUGAUGGACUCAACAAAAAACAACAUUGAGGAUAAUGAACAAGAGCUUUGGGCAAUACCAGAAAAUGUAAUCCGUCUUUGGGCUGCUGAAAUACUUCUAGCACUGGAAGCAUUGCAUCAACAAAAAGUUAUAAUUUUCGAUUUAAAACCCGAUAACAUAUUACUCGAUGAUAAUGGGCACGUGCAAUUAACGUACUUUAUACCUCGUCACGACGUAGAUCUGUUGAAAUACAAAUAUCCGUACUCGGCUCCUGAAUUAUAUACAUUUUCACCUAUAACUCCUCUUACUCCAGCUACAGACAUUUGGAGCUUUGGGGUUAUUUUAUAUGAAUUAAUAGUUGGCAAUAAAUUUCAAGAGAAACACCCAGGUAUAUUUCAACCACAUUCCGUACUUAACAUUCCUGGAAAGCUUACAGAAAAUGCAAAAUCUUUGCUACAUAAUAUACUAAAGUAUGAAUCAAAUGAUAGAAUGACAAUACCCGAAAUAAAACAACAUCCAUUCUUUAAAGAUUUUAACUGGUCAAGUUUGGUAAAUACUCUUUAAGGGUAUAAAAGUUUUAUGUGUAUUCCAUUUUAAUGGAAUAUAUUAGUGUUCCAAAGAUUCUGAAGCGAAGUCAUAAAUAAACUUAUAUACUGUCGACAUUCCAUCAACAAAUCUAGUUGUAAAUAUUACGUUAGCGUUGUUAAACAUUCCAUCCUUUAACGAUACAACAAUAAACUGUGAACGUUUAAAA